rnacentral:rRNA from 1 species
UACAGAGACGUCGAGCGUUGUUCGGAUUCAUUGGGCGUAAAGGGUGCGUAGGCGGUGAGGUAAGUCGGAUGUGAAAUCCCAAAGCCUAACUUUGGAAGUGCAUCCGAAACUGCCUUGCUGGAGGACUGGAAGGGAGACUGGAAUUCUCGGUGUAGCGGUGAAAUGCGUAGAUAUCGAGAGGAACACCUGUGGCGAAGGCGGGUCUCUGGACAGUUCCUGACGCUGAGGCACGAAAGCCAGGGGAGCAAACGGG